rnacentral:lncRNA from 1 species
UAUAACCCUUAUUUUUCAAAUGAGGAAAUGAAACAGAAAGACAUGAAAGGCAUCACUCUACAGAAGCCAAGGAUCUCUUCUCAACUGCAAACUCACUGAUGCUGAGACGGUCACUUCUCUUGUUAAGCCUCCAACUUUCCCUCAUCAUUAUGGGAGGGAGUUGGAAUUAGAUUAGUUCUCUCAACCCAGUUCUAACAUUCUGUGCAUCUGUGAGCCUAAAAAGCCUUCUGUAGAAUUCUGAUGCAGACCGUGAAAACUCACUGCAAGUGUUCCAGGGUCUUACCCGUAUUUGGCCAUCCUGUGUUUUCC